GACGGUAGUCAAAAUGUUUUGAUUAUCGUGAAAGUAAUAUUACUGCUCUCUCUCUCUCUCUCUCUCUCUCUCUCUCUCUUUCUCUAUCUCUCUAUAUCUCUAUCUAGGCAUCGUCGAUGAUUACUUUUUCUUCUGCUUCAAGAACUUUGGUCCAGUAGGAUAAAUAUUUGCUUUUGCUCUAUCUCUGUUUUCAUUUGUCUUCAACCGUUGUCAGGCUUCGGCAGAUAUUUCUCCCUUCUUUAUUUCUUUCUAUCUCGCUUCAAUCCCCGGGGUUGCCCAGAAACGAGAUUCCUCUCGCCAUUCUGUUCGAUCCUUCGUUCGUCUUUGAAUUCUAGCCGCGUACUCGACGCUCCUUGGAUACAAGCUUUCCAACGAUGAGUAUUUCGAUGGAAGAACGGAGACGUUAAAUUUAUGUUUCUUCCUCGACUAAUGGAAAUAACAAUAGAAAAGAAAAAACUACUUCUUCUUCUUCUUGCUCGUUGAAAACUAUCGAUUCGGUGCGAUACAAUUACGAUGAGAAUUCUUGACAUUUUAGGUUUUUGAAAACACCUAGGGUAACAGGGGAUGGAAGGUGUUAUAAUACCAGAUCGAAUCACUGGAAUCUAUAGAACGGAUCGUAUAAGUUUCGGUAUACGAGACCAUUAUCCAUAUUUGAUAUCUAUAGGCUAUCUGUUGUACGUGGUUUGCCGGUAACAACGUUGGUACACUUUGUAGUGUGUUCUUGCGGAUAUUUAUCGGAUAUAGGAACAUAAAUUUUCACGCGAAAUCAAAUUUUGGCAUAGUUGUGCAUGGAGUACCGCUAAAGUUUGUCUCUUCGACGUUGCUCUCGAAUAUCCAAUACUUUCGUUCGCAUCGAUAAACAUUGAAAAUGAAUUUUUGUCCAAAGAUGUCUUAAACAAUCGGUGAUUUGUUUGAAAAAUACCUUGUAAACUUGACGCUAGUUUACGGUUCGCCAAGCGUAAAGCUCGAUUAUAACUUUACGGAAGUAGAGUAGGUAGUGUAAAAAAUGACGAUGGAGCAAAAACACCGCACUUGAGAUCCAUGGGACAACUUCUGGCUUGUUGAGUCUCCUCGAUGUUAUAAAUAUGUAUUAGAGGAUUGAAGAAUGUCUCGUUUCGUCUCUCAUAUAAAAAGCAAUUCGUAUCAAGAUUACGUACAAAAUUUCUUGCGUAAAGGAUAAAAACAACAUGCUAAUGUAUUUGAUUAUUUGCUUUGGAUCGAACAAUAAACAUACUAUAAAUAAUGUAAGAAGAAGCAGGUGGGUAGGAUAAAAUUGCGAGUUGGAGAUCAGUAAGCAUUAACUACGUAAGCAGAGUGAGCAUCUAAUAGCCACCUGCUGUUAGAUGACCGGAAUCCCUGUGGAGAAGAGGGAAAGAGAGAGCCAACGGGAUUCGUGUAUCCUGGGGAUAAACACUUUGAUGAUUUAACGAAAAAUGGAGUGACUCACCAAUUCGCGACCGCUGGCAACGAUCCAAGCGAGCUGGGCCUAGCAUCAAAGGGAUUAUUUUGUAUGUUUAAAUUAAAUUGCCGGAAGCAAGGACUCGCUGUCGUGGUUGGCUUGGCAGAGGUGACGAUUGCCAUGUCGAAAAGGGAAUUGGCUCCAAUUGCAAAACUCUCCUUUUGUUUCGGAGUUUUGUGUGUGUGUAAAUUUGUAUGAGAGAUAAUCGAGGAAUCUUUUUGAAGACGCGAAUGAAGUAGAAAAACUGUUGAUAGAAAGUACAUAAAGUACACAUCGUGCGGGUCGAUAGAAUUCGGGCCAUGGCCUCUUUGAAAGCCCUGGAUCCCUGCGACGGAAAUGGACUGGUCUUUCGUAGAGAGAGAGAGGUAGGUAGCUGCGUGCUACGAAAAUGAUGUAGAGGAAGAAACAAGGAGGAGUCUGUAAGGAAAGACGAUGAUAGCGAGUAGCGGUAGAGUAGUAGAUGGUAUCGGGGGUUAGAAGGAAACCGUGGGCGCUACGAGCUACGAGCUACGAGCUACGAGCUACGAGCUACGAGUUACGAGCUAUGAGCUACGAGCAAGAGGGAGAUAAAAACUAUACGAGUCAUCCGAUAGAAAAGAGAUCAGAGGGAAAAACCAAGAGAGAAACAAUAAAAUAGGGGGAAGAGAAGAAUAGCAGGACGGUGAGUGUGACGGAGUUAAGAAGGAAAAAAGAGAGCAUCAGAACUGGAGGUGGUAAAAGGAUGGAAGAUAUCAUGAGGGAGAGAAAGAAAAAAUGAGAGUACGCGCGGGGGUGGUGAAGGAAGAAGAGAAGACUGGAGUAGAGGGGUAGCGAAGAGCACGAGCUAGUAAAUAGAGGGAUGAGAAUAGAAAGAGAAGCUGUAAAGGAAGGAAAGAGAGAAAGAGAAUGGGAUGCUGGGGUCGCUAGGCAACCCCCAUGAGCCGGGAGAGGUACACCCUUAUUGCCUUUCCAAUUUUGGUGGUUCCCAUGCA
rnacentral:lncRNA from 1 species